AGAGUUUGAUCCUGGCUCAGGAUGAACGCUGGCGGCGUGCUCAACACAUGCAAGUCGAACGAUCCUUCGGGAUAGUGGCGGACGGGUGAGUAACGCGUGGGAAUCUGCCCUCAGGAGGGGGAUAACGGCUGGAAACGGCCGCUAAUACCCCAUAUGCCGAGAGGUGAAAUGAAUUUCGCCUGAGGAUGAGCCCGCGUCUGAUUAGCUAGUUGGUGGGGUAAAGGCCUACCAAGGCAACGAUCAGUAGCUGGUCUGAGAGGAUGAUCAGCCACACUGGGACUGAGACACGGCCCAGACUCCUACGGGAGACAGCAGUGGGGAAUUUUCCGCAAUGGGCGAAAGCCUGACGGAGCAACGCCGCGUGAGGGAUGAAGGCCUCUGGGCUGUAAACCUCUUUUCUCAAGGAAGAAGACCUGACGGUACUUGAGGAAUAAGCCACGGCUAAUUCCGUGCCAGCAGCCGCGGUAAUACGGGAGUGGCAAGCGUUAUCCGGAAUUAUUGGGCGUAAAGCGUCCGCAGGCGGCCUUGUAAGUCUGUUGUUAAAGCGUGGAGCUCAACUCCAUUUAAGCAAUGGAAACUACAAGGCUGGAGUGUGGUAGGGGCAGAGGGAAUUCCCGGUGUAGCGGUGAAAUGCGUAGAUAUCGGGAAGAACACCAGUGGCGAAGGCGCUCUGCUGGGCCAUAACUGACGCUCAUGGACGAAAGCCAGGGGAGCGAAAGGGAUUAGAUACCCCUGUAGUCCUGGCCGUAAACGAUGAACACUAGGUGUCGGGGGAAUCGACCCCCUCGGUGUCGUAGCCAACGCGUUAAGUGUUCCGCCUGGGGAGUACGCACGCAAGUGUGAAACUCAAAGGAAUUGACGGGGGCCCGCACAAGCGGUGGAGUAUUUGGUUUAAUUCGAUGCAACGCGAAGAACCUUACCAGGGUUUGACAUCCUGCGAACCCCUGAGAAAUCGGGGGGUGCCUUCGGGAGCGCAGAGACAGGUGGUGCAUGGCUGUCGUCAGCUCGUGUCGUGAGAUGUUGGGUUAAGUCCCGCAACGAGCGCAACCCACGUCUUUAGUUGCCAGCAUUCAGUUGGGCACUCUAGAGAGACCGCCGGUGAUAAACCGGAGGAAGGUGUGGAUGACGUCAAGUCAUCAUGCCCCUUACAUCCUGGGCUACACACGUACUACAAUGCUACGGACAAAGGGCAGCAAGCUCGCGAGAGUUAGCAAAUCCCAUAAACCGUGGCUCAGUUCAGAUCGUAGGCUGCAACUCGCCUACGUGAAGGAGGAAUCGCUAGUAAUCGCAGGUCAGCAUACUGCGGUGAAUACGUUCCCGGGCCUUGUACACACCGCCCGUCACACCAUGGAAGUUGGCCAUGCCCGAAGUCGUUACUCCAACCCUUGUGGAGGAGGACGCCGAAGGUGGGGCUGAUGACUGGGGUGAAGUCGUAACAAGGUA
rnacentral:rRNA from 1 species